GUCGGUGGUGUAGUGGUAUAGAACGUCGACUUUCGAUAGCUACGAUCCGGGUUCGAAUCCCGCAUUGGACA